rnacentral:rRNA from 1 species
AGUGAACGCUGGCGGCAGGCCUAACACAUGCAAGUCGAACGGUAGAAGAGUAAUAGCUUGUGCAUACGGGGGCGGACGGGCGGGUGAGUCAUGGGAACCUCGCAAUUUACUUUUUAGUAGGGGCGGAAGAAGGGGAAAAUACCCUAAUACUUCAGACGACCUACGUGGGAAAGCCGGGGAACUUCCGACCUUGCGCGAUUGUAUGGGGCGAUGUCGGGUUGGCUGGUUGGCGGGGUAACGGCCCACCAAGGCGGGGAUCCGUAGCUGGGCUGAGAGGCUGGUCAGUCACACUGGAACUGAGCCACGGUCCAGGGUCCUACGGGAGGCAGCAGUGGGGAAUAUUGGACAAUGGGCGCAAGCCUGAUCCAGCCAUCCCGCGUGUGUGAAGAAGGCCUUCGGGUUGUAAAGCCCUUUUGUUGGGUAGGAAACGCAGCAAGUUAAUACCACGCUGUUCUGACGGUACCAACAGAAUAAGCACCGGCUAACUUCGUG